rnacentral:rRNA from 1 species
UACAGAGGGUGCGAGCGUUGUUCGGAAUUAUUGGGCGUAAAGGGCGCGUAGGCGGUGCGGUAAGUCACCUGUGAAAUCUCCUGGCUCAACUGGGAGCUUGCAGGCGAAACUGCCGUGCUGGAGUGUGGGAGAGGUGCGUGGAAUUCCUGGUGUAGCGGUGAAAUGCGCAGAUAUCAGGAGGAACACCAAUUGCGAAGGCAGCUCGCUGGAACGUUACUGACGCUGAGACGCGAAAGCGUGGGGAGCAAACAGG